UCUUGCUGCACUUUUUGUAAAUAAUCAGGCCAAGUAUAAGACUAAAGUCUAUUUUGCAAACAACUCAGUCCUAUCAUGAUUUUAACAAGAAUGAGGA